rnacentral:rRNA from 1 species
CGACGUGAGGAACCUGCCUUGGAGAGGGGAAUAACACUCCGAAAGGAGUGCUAAUACCGCAUGAUGCAGUUGGGUCGCAUGGCUCUGACUGCCAAAGAUUUAUCGCUCUGAGAUGGCCUCGCGUCUGAUUAGCUAGUAGGCGGGGUAACGGCCCACCUAGGCGACGAUCAGUAGCCGGACUGAGAGGUUGACCGGCCACAUUGGGACUGAGACACGGCCCAGACUCCUACGGGAGGCAGCAUG